AACGAACGCUGGCGGCAUGCCUAACACAUGCAAGUCGAACGAGACCUUCGGGUCUAGUGGCGCACGGGUGCGUAACGCGUGGGAACCUGCCCUUAGGGUCGGAAUAACUCCCCGAAAGGGGUGCUAAUACCGGAUAAUGUCUUCGGACCAAAGAUCUAUCGCCUUUGGAUGGGCCCGCGUUUGAUUAGCUAGUUGUUACGGUAGAGGCCUACCAUGGGGCCGAUCCAUAGCUGGUCGGAGAGGAGGAACAGCCACACUGGGACUGAGACACGGCCCAGACGCAUACGGGAGGAUGCAGGGGGGAAUGAUGGACCGUGGGCGAAUGACUGAUCCAGCAAUGCCGGGUGAGAGAUGAAGUCGUUAGGGUUGUAAAGCUCUUUUAUCCGGGAUGAUAAUGACAGUACCGGGAGAAUAAGCUCCGGCUAACUCCGUG
rnacentral:rRNA from 1 species